UACGUAGGGGGCUAGCGUUAUCCGGAAUUACUGGGCGUAAAGGGUGCGUAGGUGGUUUCUUAAGUCAGAGGUGAAAGGCUACGGCUCAACCGUAGUAAGCCUUUGAAACUGGGAAACUUGAGUGCAGGAGAGGAGAGUGGAAUUCCUAGUGUAGCGGUGAAAUGCGUAGAUAUUAGGAGGAACACCAGUGGCGAAGGCGACUUUCUGGCCAAAACUGACGCUGAGAUGCGAAAGCGUGGGGAGGCAAACAGGAUUAGAUACCCUGGUAGUCCCUGAGCGGG
rnacentral:rRNA from 1 species